rnacentral:rRNA from 1 species
AUUGAACGCUGGCGGCAGGCCUAACACAUGCAAGUCGAGCGAGCGGCGGACGGGUGAGUCAUGCCUGGGAAUUGCCCAGUCGAGGGGGAUAACAGUUGGAAACGACUGCUAUUCCCGCAUACGAUUGGUUUCCACAGGUGGGGUUAGCUAGUUGGUGAGGUAAUGGCUCACCAAGGCGACGCUCCCUAGCUGGGCUGAGAGGAUGAUCAGCAACACUGGAAUUGAGACACGGUCCAGAUGCCUACGGGAGGCAGCAGUGGGGAAUAUUGCACAAUGGGGGAAACCCGGAGGCAGCCAUGCGGGGGGUGUGAAGAAGGCCUUGGGGUUGUAAAGCACUUUCAGCGAGGAGGCGUUACUCGCAGAGGAAGCACCGGCUAACUCCGUGCCAGCAGCCGCGGUAAUAC